GCAUGCGAGUCUUGUGAGUUUUCGAAUGGGAACGCCGGAGAGGCGAUAUCAAAUUUAUUUCUAUCAAUAUUUGAUGUUUCAUGUCUUCCCUUUUAAUACUGUGCGAUUGAUUGAAUAAAUACCUGUGUUAUAGUGAGGUCAAUUAGGUAAAUAGCAAGGUUGAUACAAUUGCUCUAUUUCCACCACACAACUUUACAUUUUAAGAAGAAAUCUUGUUACUGUAGCCAAGAAGAUGGCAGAUCAUCAGAAUGUGUAUCCUAUAAAGCCAGAAUUACAAACCAGAGAAAGCUUUUGUAGACUACGAUCAAGAGAUAGUCAUUGCAAUCAUCUGGUUCACCUUGAACAUAAAA
rnacentral:lncRNA from 1 species